AGGACCUGCGCUCCUGCACCGCGGCGGACACGGCGGCUCAGAUCACCCGGCGCAAGUGGGAGGCGGCCGGGGAGGGAGGGGAGAGACAA